GACGAACGCUGGCGGCGUGCCUAACACAUGCAAGUCGAGCGAAGCGGCGGACGGGUGAGUAACAGGUAAGGAACCUACCGAUAAGCGGGGGACAACAUCCGGAAACGGGUGCUAAUACCGCAUACUUAUCGAUGGUCGUGCGGUGCAUUAGCUCGUUGGUGGGGUAACGGCCUACCAAGGCAAUGAUGCAUAGCCGACCUGAGAGGGUAAUCGGCCACACUGGGACUGGGACACGGCCCAAACUCCUACGGGAGGCAGCAGUAGGGAAGCUUCCGCAAUGGGCGCAAGCCUGACGGAGCAACGCCGCGUGAGUGAAGAAGGUUUUCGGAUCGUAAAGCUCUGUUAUUCGGGACGCGGUACCGGAAUAGAAAGCCACGGCUAACUACGUGCCAGCAGCCGCGGUAAUAC
rnacentral:rRNA from 1 species